rnacentral:rRNA from 1 species
AGUGAACGCUGGCGGUAGGCUUAACACAUGCAGGUCGAACGGCAGCACAGUAAUAGCUUGCUCUUACGGGUGGCGAGUGGCGGACGGGUGAGGAAUACACCGGAAUUUACUUUUUCGUGGGGGAUAACAUAGGGAAACUAACGCUAAUACCGCAUACGACAUACGGGUGGAAGCAGGGGAUCUUCGGACCUUGCGCGUUUGAAUGAGCCGAUGUCGGAUUAGCUAGUUGGCGGGGUAAAGGCCCACUAAGGCGACGAUCCGUAGCUGGUCUGAGAGGAUGAUCAGCCACACUGGAACUGAGACACGGUCCAGACUCCUACGGGAGGCAGCAGUGGGGAAUAUUGGACAAUGGGCGCAAUCCUGAUCCAGCCAUACCGCGUGGGUGAAGAAGGCCUUCGGGUUGUAAAGCCCUUUUGUUGGGAAAGAAAAGCAGCAGGUUAAUACCCCGCUGUUCUGACGGUACCCAAAGAAUAAGCACCGGCUAACUUCGUG